AGUGAACGCUGGCGGUAGGCCUAACACAUGCAAGUCGAACGGCAGCACAGGAGAGCUUGCUCUCUGGGUGGCGAGUGGCGGACGGGUGAGGAAUACAUCGGAAUCUACUCUGUCAUGGGGGAUAACGUAGGGAAACUUACGCUAAUACCGCAUACGACCUACGGGUGAAAGCAGGGGACCUUCGGGCCUUGCGCGAUUGAAUGAGCCGAUGUCGGAUUAGCUAGUUGGCGGGGUAAAGGCCCACCAAGGCGACGAUCCGUAGCUGGUCUGAGAGGAUGAUCAGCCACACUGGAACUGGGACACGGUCCAGACUCCUACGGGAGGCAGCAGUGGGGAAUAUUGGACAAUGGGCGCAAGCCUGAUCCAGCCAUACCGCGGGGGUGAAGAAGGCCUUCGGGUUGUAAAGCCCUUUUGUUGGGAAAGAAAUCCAGCUGGCUAAUACCCGGUUGGGAUGACGGUACCCAAAGAAUAAGCACCGGCUAACUUCGUGCCAGCCGCCGCUGUAA
rnacentral:rRNA from 1 species